AUAUAUAUAUGUAUGGAUGCAUGUACUGUCCGUUUGAAAUUAAAAGUCUUGUUUUUGGUGGGGGUGUCAUCCGCGAAUCUCAUUGGUCAAAAUGGUAACUCAUUGUAAAACAGUCUUGAAGAUGGUGUUGUACAGUGAAUGAGUUAUCUCCUGGAUUAUAAUAAAUGAAUAAUAUUUAUUUCAGUUUACCCGAUACUCGGAGGAUAACCAUAAGACACCCAAUGGAUUAUCAACACACUGCAACAACGGUUUAAAAAGAACCUACGUAUAUUGCAAGUAGUUUUUGUACGGUUAACUGUAAUGAAGAUUAGAAGAACUUUGAGAAUAGAUACAAUUAUUCUUGCUACUCUACUUGGUGUAGUUAGCAGUUUAUACAUUUGGGCACCAAUAUUGCAAGAAUUAAAUAUUCGUAGUGAAAAACAAAAACAGUCUAAUACAGAAAGUAUCAACGAUGAUGAUACCUGGGAAAAUGAUUAAAUUUGGAAUCGGGUUUAUAGGAAUAUAUCUUUCUAUCAUAGGAAUCAAAUUAAAAUUAAUACCGUAUGUAAAUAACAAGAGACUAAAAGAAUCUGAAGAAUUUGCUAAUAUAAUAUAUAGAAGUGAGUCUAAAUAAUACAUUGUUGUAUUAGUAUACAUGUAUAUAUAUUAGAGCAAAUAACUUCGUCAUUAAAUGACUUCACAAAUUUGCAAUACAAUUAUUACAUCUAUAUAGCAGAUAUUAAAUAACAAUACAUUUUAUUCAU